rnacentral:lncRNA from 1 species
AUACGUGAUGUUCGGAGACGGGGAAUUAUGUGCGUGCAAGCCGAUAAGCGAGGAGGAUCUAGCGUCAUUCAUGGCGGACUGUGUACUGGACGAUGACAAAAUGCGCAAGAUCCUUCCGAUCGGGGGGCCGGGGAAAGCUCUGACGCCUCUGGAGCAAGGGGAGAUGUUGUUCCGAUUGAUCGGGAAGAAACCUAUAUUCUUAAAAGUCCCGAUUGGAGUGAUGGACUUUAGCAUUUCUAUUUUAGAUUUUCUAGUAAAAAACUUACCGUGGCUGAACUUGGAAGACGCGGCGGAGUUCGGGAAGAUCGGAAGGUAUUACGCAGCGGAGAGUAUGCUGAUUAUCGAUCCGGAGACAGGGAAGUACGAUGCAGAGAAGACUCCGAGCUACGGGAAAGAUACUCUGGAGGAUUUCUUC